UGCACGGAGUGGGAUUUGAACCCACGCACCCAUACGAGUACCAGAACGCCCAAUCCGCUUUCUCGCGGCAAGUGAAUGCUUGAGUCUGGCGCCUUAGACCACUCGGCCAUCCGUGC